GUGCGCGGUUCCGUAGCAAUACGGGAUGGGCGCACGGCGCACGGGUGCGUAACACGUGGGCAAUCUGCCCUCCGAUGGGGAAUAACCCCGCGAAAGCGGGGCUAAUACCGCAUAACAUUCCUUGGACUACGGUUUGAGGACUCAAAGCAGCAAUGCGUCGGAGGAGGAGCCCGCGCCCGAUUAGCUAGUUGGUGAGGUAACGGCUCACCAAGGCAAUGAUCGGUAGCUGGUCUGAGAGGAUGGCCAGCCACACUGGAACUGAGACACGGUCCAGACUCCUACGGGAGGCAGCAGUGGGGAAUCUUGCGCAAUGGGCGAAAGCCUGACGCAGCGACGCCGCGUGGGGGAUGAAGCUUCUCGGAGUGUAAACCCCUUUCGACUGGGACGAAUGCCCGCAAGGGAGUGACGGUACCAGUAGAAGAAGCCCCGGCUAACUACGUGCCAGCAGCCGCGGUAAGACGUAGGGGGCCAGCGUUGUUCGGAAUUACUGGGUGUAAAGGGUUCGUAGGCGGUGUGGCAAGUCGGGAGUGAAAUCUCUGGGCUCAACUCAGAGGCUGCUUCCGAAACUGCUGUGCUU
rnacentral:rRNA from 1 species